UGAAGUUGCAAGACCAUAGCUUCACUGACAGUUCGUGACCAGCAGAAUUGGUGAGAUCAAGACCCUUAUAAAGAAGCUGUUUCUGGGGAGGAAUAGCACCGACGAGAUGAUAACACUGGCUUAAUAAGCUAUAAGCCCGGCACUUCAAUUCGAAGCAUGAUGGAAUAGACUUCAGUAACAAUUGAGAACGCUCGAGAUGGGAUUUCGCAUGAUUGACGUUGUGAGAAUGAGUGAGUAGAAGGGUGGCAAUUCGAAGCCGAGUCUUGACCUCAACGACUGGAAAGAAAGACACAGGACUCUGGCAUAUGGCUUCCAAACACUUUAUUGCCUUCCCUAGUUCCCCCUGCUUCUCGUGGUAAUCUGCCAGCCUCCACAAUCCCUCCGCCACUGCUUCCAUAUCAUCAGAUUCUUUUCAGUAGGAGUGUCAAUCAGAUUGCUGCCAGCUUAUAAUCUGCGAGAAAGGGGGCGCCAAGCUCACACGACAA
rnacentral:misc_RNA from 1 species